UUUAUUAGUUUGGGAAAUGGCAGUGAUGAGCUGUUAUAUUUGGUUGAUGAUAGAUAAAUGAAUACAUAUGUACUUAUGUCAUGAAUUUUGGUGAUUUGGGAUGUAAAGGUCAAAUUGUUAUAUAUAUAUAUGUUAUUGUAUGUUCGGCUAUGAUAUUUGACUAUUUAUGUUUGGUUUACGAUGGCAAGAAUGAAUAUGUUUUAACU
rnacentral:lncRNA from 1 species